CCUACGGGGGGCAGCAGUGAGGAAUAUUGGUCAAUGGACGAGAGUCUGAACCAGCCAAGUAGCGUGAAGGAUGACUGCCCUAUGGGUUGUAAACUUCUUUUAUAUGGGAAUAAAAUGUUCCACGUGUGGGAUUUUGUAUGUACCAUAUGAAUAAGGAUCGGCUAACUCCGUGCCAGCAGCCGCGGUAAUACGGAGGAUCCGAGCGUUAUCCGGAUUUAUUGGGUUUAAAGGGAGCGUAGGUGGAUUGUUAAGUCAGUUGUGAAAGUUUGCGGCUCAACCGUAAAAUUGCAGUUGAAACUGGCAGUCUUGAGUACAGUGGAGGUGGGCGGAAUUCGUGGUGUAGCGGUGAAAUGCUUAGAUAUCACGAAGAACUCCGAUUGCGAAGGCAGUUCACUGGACUGCAACUGACACUGAGGCUCGAAAGUGUGGGUAUCAAACAGGAUUAGAUACCCGUGUAGUC
rnacentral:rRNA from 1 species